rnacentral:rRNA from 1 species
UACGGAGGGAGCUAGCGUUGUUCGGAAUUACUGGGCGUAAAGCGCACGUAGGCGGCUUUGUAAGUUAGAGGUGAAAGCCCGGAGCUCAACUCCGGAACUGCCUUUAAGACUGCAUCGCUUGAAUCCAGGAGAGGUGAGUGGAAUUCCGAGUGUAGAGGUGAAAUUCGUAGAUAUUCGGAAGAACACCAGGUGGCGAAGGCGGCUCACUGGAGCUGGUAUUGACGCUGAGGUGGCGAAAGCGUGGGGAGCAAACAGG